UACGGAGGGUGCGAGCGUUGUCCGGAAUCACUGGGCGUAAAGCGCGCGCAGGCGGCGAUCUACGUCUGGGGUGAAAGCCCGGAGCUCAACUCCGGGACUGCCUUGGAUACGGGAUCGCUUGAGGAUUGGAGAGGCAAGGGGAAUUCCACGUGUAGCGGUGAAAUGCGUAGAUAUGUGGAGGAACACCUGUGGCGAAGGCGUCUUGCUGGCCAAUUUCUGACGCUGAGGCGCGAAAGCGUGGGGAGCAAACAGG
rnacentral:rRNA from 1 species